AUUCUGCCACUUUGCCUGUGCACCUUCCUUCUGUCUCCUUUUGCUUUCUUUACAAAAGCCAAACACAUCCAAGACAUAUCUGGUGUAAACUUGGAUAAAGCAUCUCAUUUCCUUGCAAACAAGAUGAGUAUGUCAACAUGUAACAUCCCAAAAAUAAACCAAGGCUUCAGCUACCUAGGAAGAUUGAAUACCACAUAAUGGAGCUGCUUUAAUAGCUGUAUUUUCAGUGAAUACAACAAAAGGGGAUGUCAUUAUUAUUUUUAAAAGCAAAAUCCAUCUAUAAACUUAUUAAAGCAGGAAUAAAUAAAAGAAUGUGUGUAAGAUCUGUUCUGGGCAUAAUGAACUCCUGAGUUAUUGCUAUAGUCCUGUAUUUCAUCUUCAUCUGAAAGAGUGAGAUUUGAACAAUGUUACAUAGUGAUAAGCAAAAGAUGAU